GCGGCCCCAGGCCACGGCCCCGCACCGCCUGGACCAGGAGUUGUGUUUCUGGGGCAGCCGGGGCCCGGUCUUGCCGGCGCCCGCCGCCCGCCGCAGCCUGGGCGACUACUGGCUGAGCCCGCAGCGCCGCCACCCUCCGGGUGCCGCCUGGCACUGGCCCGCACGCAACCUGUUACUGCUGCCCCCGGCCACCGGCCUGGCCGACGUACCCUCGGCGCGCUGGCCCAGCUGCUACGGCGCGCGCCCGAGACUCACGUGGAAGCACCGGUGGCAGAAUAUUAACUACUAUUUUCUGGGCAAAAGGAAGCGACAUCUAGUUCCCUUGCGCCCGUGAGAGCCGCCUCAUCACAUCCCCAUGAGGUGGGUACCCUCAUUAUUCCUGUUGUCCUCAGAUGAGAAGGCGGAGGCUCAGAGCUGUCAAAUGACUUGUCCAAAGACACCCAGGCAGUUCAUGGCAGGACAGAAUUUGAGCCCAGGCAGUCUGGCGUGCUCAGCCAUGCUCCCUGUGCCCUGGGAUUCGGGAGGAUUGUCACAGAUGUCUACUUUCCAGGGACUUGGGGAGACAGGCUUCAGGCUCUAUCACAUGAUGAUCCUGGGGCCGACUUGUGCCAAGGCUGGGCUGGGAGGGAAGAUGGCCUGGACGCACAGCGUAAUCCUGAGUCCCCUCUCUGUGGAUGACGAUGAGUUACCUUUGCCCUCCCUCCUGAGAUCUCUGUGGUUCUGCCCUUCAUUCUCCAAAUAAAAUCGCUGUGGCCUCA